GAUGAACGCUGGCGGCGUGCCUAAUACAUGCAAGUCGAGCGAACAGACGAGGAGCUUGCUCCUCUGACGUUAGCGGCGGACGGGUGAGUAACACGUGGAUAACCUACCUAUAAGACUGGGAUAACUUCGGGAAACCGGAUCUAAUACCGGAUAAUAUAUUGAACCGCAUGGUUCAAUAGUGAAAGACGGUUUUGCUGUCACUUAUAGAUGGAUCCGCGCCGCAUUAGCUAGUUGGUAAGGUAACGGCUUACCAAGGCAACGAUGCGUAGCCGACCUGAGAGGGUGAUCGGCCACACUGGAACUGAGACACGGUCCAGACUCCUACGGGAGGCAGCAGUAGGGAAUCUUGCGCAAUGGGCGAAAGCCUGACGGAGCAAUGCCGCGUGAGUGAUGAAGGUCUUCGGAUCGUAAAACUCUGUUGUUAGGGAAGAAAAAAUGUGUAAGUAACUAUGCACGUCUUGACGGUACCUAAUCAGAAAGCAACGGCUAACUACGUG
rnacentral:rRNA from 1 species